ACGGAAUUAGCACGGGAAAAUGGAGAAUGGGGUUCAAAUGGAGAAAAGGAGACACAGGGUGUUUUCUGGAGAAUGGGGUUCACAAUGGCGAUCGAGAGUUAUCGUCAAGCGACUGGGGUUCAAAUGGAGAACGGGGUUCAUUGUUUGGAAACAAGAGUGACAGGAAGUUGCCGGGGUUCAAAUGCGGUGAUCAGGGAUCAUCCGCGCGAAAGAAAAAUAUCUGUUUUGGGUUCAA
rnacentral:lncRNA from 1 species